rnacentral:sRNA from 1 species
UGUUUCACAGGCUUUUGACGAUAUUCAGUGAGAAGAAAUAACAAGAGAACCAACUUCUGAGUUUGGAUUCUAAAAAAAAAUGGAAGUGAAUGGAGCCACAGGACUGAGUUAUGAUAUGGGACAGCUCAAGUCAGUGAAUGCAGAGGAAGAAAGUAAUUACAAGUCAAAAGUCAUGAAUAUGAAAGAUAAAGACCAUGUGUUGAGUACCACUACAUCCGCUUCUAAAAAAGUCAUCUUCCAUCGACAUCCUGUACGCCGUGGACCAGGUGCCGCCUUGGUAUUUGUGUAUUUUUUUAGGAUUUCAGCAAUUUCUCACCGCCUUUGGUGCCACAUUCGCAUAUCCUGUGAUCAUAAGUGGCGCCAUCUGUAUUCAAGGCGAUGACGUAGGGCUAGGAGAGUUAAUCAGUACAGUAAUAUUUGUCUCUGGACUCUCUUCGAUUCUACAGACUACAUUCGGUGUCAGACUACCCAUCAUUCAAAGUAUCAGCUACUCCUUCAUCGUCCCAGCCUUUGUUGUGAUGUCCGUAUCUCCAGACAAUUGCCCCUACACUGAUCCCAAAGGUCAGUACCAAGCUCGCUAAUCUCUGAAACCUAGCUAACUGAAAUCAUUCCCGAUAAAACAAGAGGAGGAGGACUGGCCAUUUAUCAACAAUGUUUCAAUCAAAAUUAAAAUGUGUACGAGCGAUAUUGAACUACUUUGUAUAAUUCGUAGGCCAUAUUGCAUGCUGAGAGAGAGAGUUAACACAAAUCUACGUCAUACUUGUGUAUAUACCACCCACAGCCACCACAGAGUAUGCAACCGAAUAAAUUAAUCCGUUUGGAAAAAGACCAAUGAUUCUGUUCGACUAGUUAUGGGAGAUUUGAAUCAUCUUUCGUUAGCUCAACACUUGCCAGCAUAUAGUCAAUAC